UCUUCCCCACGCACGAGCGGGGAUACCGCCGCCGCCGCCUUCCUCGCGGAGUCUGCGGCCGAAGGAUCGGUUGGGACGCACCGGGUCUGCGGUGCGAGCUCUCGGCUCGGGGCAGGAGGCGGCUCGAUGACGAGGAGCUGGGGCGCGGCGCUCCUCUCCUGGUGUGGCGCACGAGGGAAGGAGGAGGGGAUCGAUCCAAGACGAGAGCUGAGGCCGGCGGCGCCCUUCACACAAGCCUCACCGGCAGUUCCCUGUACACAAGCCUCACCGGCGAUGCAGCGGGAGAGCUCCGACCCGUCCAUAGGUGCGGGGAUGCAGAUCCGUGUCGCCAGCCUGUACUAGGCCGAGGUUGACGCGCCGGCGCAGGGGUCACCGUCCAUCUUCGCCAGGCCUCCAGAGUACUCCAGCAACAGCCACUGGACGGCAGGUAAGCAUGCAUUGUAUGACCUUAGCUAAUUGCGUACAUACAAGUUUGGAUGAAUUCCAAGAGAUGGAGCACUCUAUCCAAAUAGGAGAAGUGUUAGUGAGUACAAUUUCACAAUGGUUUUCAUGGGGAGCAAAAUAAUUACCUGCGGCAAAUUUAGGUUCUAGAAUUGACAUAUAUUCAGUUCCUUUUUUUUAUAAAGAGAGCUCCCUCUUCGAUUUUCUUUAGAGGAAAUCACCGUGUCUUACCUAUAUUCAGUUCCUGGAAGAACAAAGAAGUUGCAUGUCCUUUUAGUCUGAAAAUCACAUUGAUCCUUGGAGCAUGAUGGGGACAAAUCGCACAUAUGUCCUGUACUGCACACACAGGCAAAGGAUUUUUCUGAAUGCCAUUGUUGUCCGGUACACAGUGUUUAUCAGUGAGUAAUUUGCCCCUUUCGCAAUGUGAUGAUACUGGCAAUAAGGGAAGCAUCAUAUACCAUUGGUUUUGCUGAACUAGAAAUAACACAACUACAUAUUGAUUUUCUGCUUAAAUUUCACAAUAGAUAUUUUGCCGGAUGACCCACUGUAUGAGGAUGCCACAUCCUUUCUUGCUCACCCAACACACGGCAUUCCUGUAUGUCGUUGUGUGCUUCUCAGUACAGUAGAGGUACCACACGGGGUGGUGACUGGGAGGCUGGUACAUGCUAGCACGGCCAAACAGCUGGUUCACUGCGAUCAGGGUGCUAGAGGCUCUUGGGGUUGCAGCCCGCUCGCCUGCUGGAGGUACAAUGUUGAUUAUUUAGAGACCUCAUCUUCAUGAGACUAGCAAGGGAUGGACAUUCUGAAGAAGAAGAGAUGAGGUGAGUUUCUGAAGUUCACCGUCCAAUCCAAGUAUUAAAGGUCCCUGCACUUCCGUUGACGAGUAUUUUGUCAGCAUCUCGAUGCGGAGGACCACAGCGUUGUAGCGCCCUUGGCUCAAGGUGACCAUCUUCAGCGCAUCGUGGUGUCGCUGCCCACACGAUCUCUACAGACACCACAAAAGGCUACAGGACCGACGAGGCCGGUGGCCUGACCACCGAAUCAUGUUGUCGCGCGGGCGCCUUGAUCUAUAUGUGCCUCCUCCGUCUCUUAUUCCCUGGAACGUAAUUUGAUGACUCAUUGAUGUCACACUCGCUUAGGAUUAAACUGCACAGGUUAGAUUGACAUUUUGCCCUGUGUUUAAUUACUACAUGCACUGCACGCUGAUUCAUGUAUAUAUUGGCUCCCCUAUAUAUACCUCUAUUGGUGAAAAGUUUUGACUUU